rnacentral:rRNA from 1 species
CCUACGGGAGGCAGCAGUCGAGAAUCAUUCACAAUGGGGGAAACCCUGAUGGUGCGACGCCGCGUGGGGGAAUGAAGGUCUUCGGAUUGUAAACCCCUGUCAUGUGGGAGCAAAUUAAAAAGAUAGUACCACAAGAGGAAGAGACGGCUAACUCUGUGCCAGCAGCCGCGGUAAUACAGAGGUCUCAAGCGUUGUUCGGAAUCACUGGGCGUAAGGGGGGGGUAGGCGGUUUCGUAAGUCGGGUGUGAAAGGCGUGGGCUCAACCCGCGGACGGCACAUGAUACUGCGAGACUAGAGUAAUGGAGGGGGAACCGGAAUUCUCGGUGUAGCAGUGAAAUGCGUAGAUAUCGAGAGGAACACUCGUGGCGAAGGCGGGUUCCUGGGCAUUAACUGACGCUGAGGCACGAAGGCCAGGGGAGCGAAAGGGAUUAGAUACCCGUGUAGUC